rnacentral:rRNA from 1 species
GACGAACGCUGGCGGCGUGCCUAAUACAUGCAAGUUGAGCGAUGAAGAUUGGUGCUUGCACCAAUUUGAAGAGCAGCGAACGGGUGAGUAACGCGUGGGGAAUCUGCCUUUGAGCGGGGGACAACAUUUGGAAACGAAUGCUAAUACCGCAUAACAACUUUAAACAUAAGUUUUAAGUUUGAAAGAUGCAAUUGCAUCACUCAAAGAUGAUCCCGCGUUGUAUUAGCUAGUUGGUGAGGUAAAGGCUCACCAAGGCGAUGAUACAUAGCCGACCUGAGAGGGUGAUCGGCCACAUUGGGACGGAGACACGGCCCAAACUCCUACGGGAGGCAGCAGUAGGGAAUCUUCGGCAAUGGACGAAAGUCUGACCGAGCAACGCCGCGGGAGUGAAGAAGGUUGUCGGAUCGUAAAACUCUGUUGGUAGAGAAGAACGUUGGUGAGAGUGGAAAGCUCAUCAAGUGACGGUAACUACCCAGAAAGGGACGGCUAACUACGUG